AGACAGGAUAUCAACAAAGAGAGCCAAGAAAAUUGUUUGUUACGCGAUAUAUACUCACUUGGUAAGAAUGAUUAAUCUGUUAAGAUGAAACUUGUGCAUUCAUUGUGUGUGUUCAAUCAUAAUCGGAACCAAAUUACAUCUGUUUCUGGAGGUGCGGAUCAAGGUUUUGAAAAAAGGGGGGCCCCUGCCCAAGGCAAGCAAACGUUUGGAGUGAUACUUGUAAAUAGUCUAUACAUUUAUCUUAUAAGUAGCUCCAUCAAGCAUCUACGUACACCAAUUAUGAAUUUGUUCAUUGAUAUAAAAAAAUUAUAAAGAUAUGUGGCUUGUGUGUUUGUCACAGUUUGAUUGCCAAUACACCUUAUCGCUAUUUGUCCGCCAUUACUUGCCAUGGACAUCAUAAAAGUUCCCGUAAAAUGUUGACGUCAUAUUAGAAAAUAUUUGACACCACAAUUGAAAGUAAUACACCUUAUCGCUAUUUGUCCACCAUUACUGGACAUCACACAACUGUCACAUGUUCCCUUAAAAUUUUGACAUCAUCAUAAAAAAUAUCUGAUGCCACAAUGGAAAAGUGAUUGUUGUUUGACGUCAAAAGUUCAAGCAGGAUAGAUUCUCGGGUCAAGCAGGAAUAGCGAUAAGGUGUAUUAUUGUAUGACGUAUGCUGACGUCAAAAGUUCAAGCGGGACAGAUUUCCAAAUACUGAAAUAGCGAUAAGGUGUAUGAGACAGUUAUCCACCAGAAUUUAAAUGACUUGGAUAAAAGAAAUUAUAGGUCACUGUACGGCUUUCAAAACUGAGAAAACCAAUGCCAUAUAGUCCACUUUGAAGCCUUGAAAAACAAAUGUUAAAUUUUUCUCAACACAAUUGAAACAAAACAACUAACUGCCUACAUUAAAUACACAUUAUGAAAAAGAAAUUUGACAGACUUAAACCAACAACAACUAUUGCAAUAAGCAUGACUCAAUACCUUGUUUCCGAGGCACACAAACAAGUUACAAUAACACUAAUAUAAGCACCAUUUGAAUAUGGAGAUUUUUUUUUCUAGUAAAAUCAGUGUAUGUAUGUAUUUGCAAAACAGUAAAUUAAAUUUCCCUUAACAGCUUAAUGAACAUUAAAAAGACUAUGUAAGACUUCAGUACAAGCAAGAUAAUAUAAACUGUUGCUUAAAAUUAUAUUUAUUGCUUCAUACACACAAUGUACAUACAAUGUAUCUUUUAUUUUUUAACAGGAGCUAAAAGAAAAGCCACAAAGGACAAGUUCAAUAUGCAGGUUUACAAUUUGGAAGUGGCGCAGGUUCUUUGGAAUGUCUACAACCUUUCAGUAGAAUUUUUUUUUGAAAAGCAUGGCACAGCAAGAAAAAGAUAUAAGACACUACAAGACAUUCCAAGUGAUUUUGAAUAAGACAAUUGAUUGACUUUUUCAAUGUAUUCUUAAAUAAAUCAAAUAGUUGAUGUAAAA